rnacentral:rRNA from 1 species
UACGAAGGGGACUAGCGUUGUUCGGAAUUACUGGGCGUAAAGCGCACGUAGGCGGAUUUGUUAGUCAGGGGUGAAAUCCCGGGGCUCAACCUCGGAACUGCCUUUGAUACUGCAAAUCUCGAGUCCGAUAGAGGUGGGUGGAAUUCCUAGUGUAGAGGUGAAAUUCGUAGAUAUUAGGAAGAACACCGGUGGCGAAGGCGGCCCACUGGAUCGGUACUGACGCUGAGGCACGAAAGUGUGGGGAUCAAACAGG